UAAAUUUUGAUACAAUAAUUAUCAGUAAUUGGUGGGUGUAAAAGAUGGUAGCUAAUCUCUUAAAUAAGAGGUGAUGCUUAUGGUUAUACGCUUUAUCCCUAGAAAGGAAUAAAGUUGUCUGUAUUUGAAUCUUUACAACUGAUGCUCGCCUUUGCGACAUUGGUGUUGCAGAUAAUAGACAAAAA
rfam:Enterococcus villorum ATCC 700913 genomic scaffold acvIF-supercont1.5, whole genome shotgun sequence.